UACGUAGGGUGCGAGCGUUGUCCGGAAUUACUGGGCGUAAAGCGUGCGUAGGUGGUUUGUUAAGUCUGCUGUGAAAGCCCCGGGCUCAACCUGGGAAUGGCAGUGGAUACUGGCAAGCUAGAGUGCGGUAGAGGGUAGUGGAAUUCCCGGUGUAGCGGUGAAAUGCGUAGAGAUCGGGAGGAACACCAGUGGCGAAGGCGGCUACCUGGACCAGCACUGACACUCAGGCACGAAAGCGUGGGGAGCAAACAGG
rnacentral:rRNA from 1 species